rnacentral:rRNA from 1 species
UACGUAGGGUGCAAGCGUUGUCCGGAUUUAUUGGGCGUAAAGAGCUCGUAGGCGGUCUGUUGCGUCGGAUGUGAAAACCCAGGGCUCAACCCUGGGCCUGCAUUCGAUACGGGCAGACUAGAGUAUGGCAGGGGAGACUGGAAUUCCUGGUGUAGCGGUGAAGUGCGCAGAUAUCAGGAGGAACACCGGUGGCGAAGGCGGGUCUCUGGGCCGAUACUGACACUAGGAGGCGAAAGCGAUGGGGAGCGAACGGAGGA